rnacentral:rRNA from 1 species
GACGAACGCUGGCGGCGUGCUUAACACAUGCAAGUCGAACGGAAAGGCCCUGCUUUUGUGGGGUGCUCGAGUGGCGAACGGGUGAGUAACACGUGAGUAACCUGCCCUUGACUUUGGGAUAACUUCAGGAAACUGGGGCUAAUACCGGAUAGGAGCUCCUGCUGCAUGGUGGGGGUUGGAAAGUUUCGGCGGUUGGGGAUGGACUCGCGGCAUAUCAGCUUGUUGGUGGGGUAGUGGCUUACCAAGGCUUUGACGGGUAGCCGGCCUGAGAGGGUGACCGGCCACAUUGGGACUGAGAUACGGCCCAGACUCCUACGGGAGGCAGCAGUGGGGAAUACUGCACAAUGGGCGGAAGCCUGAUGCAGCAACGCCGCGUGCGGGAUGACGGCCUUCGGGUUGUAAGCCGCUUUCGCCUGUGACGAAGCGUGAGUGACGGUAAUGGGUAAAGAAGCACCGGCUAACUACGUG